AGCAGAUGCAGGAUCCAAGCGUCUUGUACAGUCUGCAGAAUUGUCCCACUGCAAUUCAGUUGAAUAAGAAAGAAGGAGAAGCUGUGAACUGUAGGUCUAAGGACUUCUCAAACUUUUUCACGUACAUGGAGUCACCCUGGGCUCUUAUCAAAAUGUAGAUUCUGAUUCAGUAGGUCUGGGGAGCUGCUGCUGCUGCUGGUUCCAAACUACGCUGGAUUAAAAAGAGGCAAAGAAGCAGAAGAUAAGCACAGGGUUGCCUGGGAUGAAGUUUGCUCAGCCAUUAAAAGGUGGGAAAGUCUCCUGCUGCUGUGUAUAUGAGAGAAAGCCACUGUUAACGUCAUGUGUCAGCUACCCAUCAAUUGAGGCAGAGGAAGCAAUUGGUUCAUCAAUGGGUUGGUAAGAAGCCCUCCAAACCUUAAUUAUCUGAGUGC
rnacentral:lncRNA from 10 species